rnacentral:rRNA from 1 species
UACGUAGGGUGCAAGCGUUGUCCGGAAUUAUUGGGCGGAAAGAGCUCGUAGGCGGUUUGUCGCGUCUGCUGUGAAAACUCGGGGCUUAACCCUGGGCCUGCAGUGGGUACGGGCAGACUAGAGUGCGGUAGGGGAGACUGGAAUUCCUGGUGUAGCGGUGAAAUGCGCAGAUAUCAGGAGGAACACCGGUGGCGAAGGCGGGUCUCUGGGCCGUAACUGACGCUGAGGAGCGAAAGCGUGGGGAGCGAACAGG